AGUGAACGCUGGCGGUAGGCCUAACACAUGCAAGUCGAACGGCAGCACAGUAAGAGCUUGCUCUUACGGGUGGCGAGUGGCGGACGGGUGAGGAAUACAUCGGAAUCUACUUUUUCGUGGGGGAUAACGUAGGGAAACUUACGCUAAUACCGCAUACGACCUACGGGUGAAAGCAGGGGAUCUUCGGACCUUGCGCGAUUGAAUGAGCCGAUGUCGGAUUAGCUAGUUGGCGGGGUAAAGGCCCACCAAGGCGACGAUCCGUAGCUGGUCUGAGAGGAUGAUCAAGCACACUGGGACUUGGGAACCGGCCCAAACCCCUAGGGGGGGAGGAAGGGGGGAAUUUGGGAAAAGGGGGGAAACCCGGCCCCGGCCAAACGGGGGGGGUGAAAAAGGCCUUGGGGUUGAAAACCCCUUUUUUGGGGAAAAAAAAGCGGCAGGUUAAUCCCCCGCUGUUUGGCCGGUACCAAAAAAAUAAGCCCCGGCUAACUUCGU
rnacentral:rRNA from 1 species